ACAAGCCCUGGAAACGGGGUCUAAUACCGGAUACGACCACCGACCGCAUGGUCUGGUGGUGGAAAGCUCCGGCGGUGCAGGAUGAGCCCGCGGCCUAUCAGCUUGUUGGUGGGGUGAUGGCCUACCAAGGCGACGACGGGUAGCCGGCCUGAGAGGGCGACCGGCCACACUGGGACUGAGACACGGCCCAGACUCCUACGGGAGGCAGCAGUGGGGAAUAUUGCACAAUGGGCGAAAGCCUGAUGCAGCGACGCCGCGUGAGGGAUGACGGCCUUCGGGUUGUAAACCUCCUUCAGCAGGGAAGAAGCGAAAGUGACGGUACCUGCAGAAGAAGCACCGGCUAACUACGUGCCAGCAGCCGCGGUAAUACGUAGAGUGCGAGCGUUGUCCGGAAUUAUUGGGCGUAAAGAGCUCGUAGGCGGCUUGUCACGUCGGAUGUGAAAGCCCGGGGCUUAACCCCGGGUCUGCAUUCGAUACGGGGCAGGNUANANUUCNGUA
rnacentral:rRNA from 1 species